ensembl:snoRNA small nucleolar RNA SNORA31
AGGUCUCCGAGGUUUUAUUUUCACUUUCUAAAAAUUCUUACCCCCACUGGGAUGCGAAAAAAAAAUAUCCCUGUGCUUUCUGUCUGUCUUUGUGGAGGCCCAGAUUGAAUAAGGGACUACAUCU